rnacentral:rRNA from 1 species
UACGUAGGUGACAAGCGUUGUUCGGAUUCAUUGGGCGUAAAGGGUGCGUAGGCGGCGCGGUAAGUCGGGUGUGAAAUCUCGGAGCUUAACUCCGAAACUGCAUUCGAUACUGCCGUGCUUGAGGACUGGAGAGGAGACUGGAAUUUACGGUGUAGCGGUGAAAUGCGUAGAGAUCGUGAGGAAGACCAGUGGCGAAGGCGGGUCUCUGGACAGUUCCUGACACUGAGGCACGAAGGCCAGGGGAGCAAACGGG